UACGGAGGGGGCUAGCGUUGUUCGGAAUUAUUGGGCGUAAAGCGCGCGUAGGCGGUUACUUAAGUCGGAUGUGAAAGCCCUCGGCUUAACUGAGGAAGUGCACCCGAAACUGAGUAGCUAGAGUACGAAAGAGGGUCGCGGAAUUCCCGGUGUAGAGGUGAAAUUCGUAGAUAUCGGGAGGAACACCGGUGGCGAAGGCGGCGACCUGGGUCGAGACUGACGCUGAGGCGCGAAAGCGUGGGGAGCGAACAGG
rnacentral:rRNA from 1 species